GAUGAACGCUGGCGGCGUGCCUAAUACAUGCAAGUCGAGCGAACGGACGAGAAUCUUGCUUCUCUGAUGUUAGCGGCGGACGGGUGAGUAACACGUGGAUAACCUACCUAUAAGACUGGGAUAACUUCGGGAAACCGGAGCUAAUACCGGAUAAUAUUUUGAACCGCAUGGUUCAAAAGUGAAAGACGGUCUUGCUGUCACUUAUAGAUGGAUCCGCGCUGCAUUAGCUAGUUGGUAAGGUAACGGCUUACCAAGGCAACGAUGCAUAGCCGACCUGAGAGGGUGAACGGCCACACUGGAACUGGGACACGGUCCAGAAUCUUACGGGAGGCAGCAGUAGGGAAUCCUCCGGAAUGGGCGAAAGCCUGACGGAGCAACGCCGCGUGAGUGAUGAAGGUCUUCGGAUCGUAAAACUCUGUUAUUAGGGAAGAACAUAUGUGUAAGUAACUGUGCACAUCUUGACGGUACCUAAUCAGAAAGCCACGGCUAACUACGUG
rnacentral:rRNA from 1 species